AACGUAGGAGACAAACGUUAUCCGGAGUUACUGGGCGUAAAGGGCGUGUAGGUGGCUUCGUAAGUCUGGCGUGAAAUUUUUCGGCUUAACCGGGAAAGGUCGUCGGAUACUGCGGAACUAGAGGACGGUAGAGGCGUGUGGAGUUCCGGGUGUAGUGGUGAAAUGCGUAGAGAUCCGGAGGAACACCAGUGGCGAAGGCGACACGCUGGGCCGUACCUGACACUGAUGCGCGACAGCAUGGGGAGCAAACAGG
rnacentral:rRNA from 1 species